rnacentral:rRNA from 1 species
UACGUAGGGUGCGAGCGUAAUCGGAAUUACUGGGCGUAAAGCGUGCGCAGGCGGUUUUAUAAGACAGAUGUGAAAUCCCCGGGCUUAACCUGGGAAUUGCAUUUGUGACUGUACGGCUAGAGUGUGUCAGAGGGGGGUAGAAUUCCACGUGUAGCAGUGAAAUGCGUAGAGAUGUGGAGGAAUACCGAUGGCGAAGGCAGCCCCCUGGGAUAACACUGACGCUCAUGCACGAAAGCGUGGGGAGC